rnacentral:rRNA from 1 species
GUGCCAGCAGCCGCGGUAAUACGUAGGGUGCGAGCGUUAUCCGGAAUUAUUGGGCGUAAAGAGCUCGUAGGCGGUUUGUCGCGUCUGUCGUGAAAGUCCGGGGCUUAACCCCGGAUCUGCGGUGGGUACGGGCAGACUAGAGUGCAGUAGGGGAGACUGGAAUUCCUGGUGUAGCGGUGGAAUGCGCAGAUAUCAGGAGGAACACCGAUGGCGAAGGCAGGUCUCUGGGCUGUAACUGACGCUGAGGAGCGAAAGCAUGGGGAGCGAACAGGAUUAGAUACCCUGGUAGUCC